CAGUAGCCGCGGGAAAACGUAGGGGGCAAGCGUUAUCCGGAAUAACUGGGCGUAAAGGGUGCGCAGGUGGUUUAACAAGUUAGUGGUGAAAGGCAUAGGCUCAACCAAUGUAAGCCAUUAAAACUGUUUAACUUGAGUGCAGGAGAGGAAAGUGGAAUUCCUAGUGUAGCGGUGAAAUGCGUAGAUAUUAGGAGAAAUACCAGUGGCGAAGGCGACUUUCUGGACUGCAACUGACGCUGAGGCACGAAAGCGUGGGGAGCAAACAGGAUUAGAUACCCCUGUAGUCCCUGUCUCUUAUACA
rnacentral:rRNA from 1 species